UACAGAGGGUGCAAGCGUUGUUCGGAAUUACUGGGCGUAAAGGGCGCGUAGGCGGCCUGCUAAGUCGAACGUGAAAUCCCUGGGCUCAACCCAGGAACUGCGUCCGAUACUGGUUGGCUUGAAUCCGGGAGAGGGAUGUGGAAUUCCAGGUGUAGCGGUGAAAUGCGUAGAUAUCUGGAGGAACACCGGUGGCGAAGGCGACAUCCUGGACCGGUACUGACGCUGAGGCGCGAAAGCCAGGGGAGCAAACGGG
rnacentral:rRNA from 1 species